rnacentral:rRNA from 1 species
CACAAGCGGUGGAGCAUGUGGUUUAAUUCGAUGCAACGCGAAGAACCUUACCUGGUCUUGACAUCCACAGAACUUGGCAGAGAUGCCUUGGUGCCUUCGGGAACUGUGAGACAGGUGCUGCAUGGCUGUCGUCAGCUCGUGUUGUGGAAUGUUGGGUUAAGUCCCGCAACGAGCGCAACCCUUAUCCUUUGUUGCCAGCGGUUAGGCCGGGAACUCAAAGGAGACUGCCAGUGAUAAACUGGAGGAAGGUGGGGAUGACGUCAAGUCAUCAUGGCCCUUACGACCAGGGCUACACACGUGCUACAAUGGCAUAUACAAAGAGAAGCGACCUCGCGAGAGCAAGCGGACCUCAUAAAGUAUGUCGUAGUCCGGAUUGGAGUCUGCAACUCGACUCCAUGAAGUCGGAAUCGCUAGUAAUCGUGGAUCAGAAUGCCACGGUGAAUACGUUCCCGGGCCUU